rnacentral:lncRNA from 1 species
GGGUGAGCUUGACAUGUGGACUAAGAUAGCAUGAGGAUUGGGUCUUGUGACAUAGAAUCCUAUAGCGGCAUAAAGAGCCGAACUUGGACAUAGCCUAGUAGAGUGGCAUUGAACUAGUGUAGUAGAAACACUAAACUUGAACGAAUGGCAUGUCAACUAGUAGAAAACUUACUACAAUGAUCGAACGAGUGGCAUCGAGUCUAG